rnacentral:lncRNA from 1 species
AGGGGACGCUGGUCCACAGACCGAGGCCCCGUUGCGCGCGGCCGCCUUCGGAGCGCCGCCCUCCUCCCGAAACCGGCCGGGGCGAGUGGCUGCAAGAAGCUGCGGUUUGGCCCGCGGGAGAGGGGGGCUUCCCCGCUGGGGUUGUCUGACGCGAACGCCUUCCUGGCCCCAGCCAGGCGCCCUGAGAUGAUGAAGGUUUAAGAAGCAGCAUCAUCAGCGAACUGUGUUUUGAAGAUUUGAGGGAAGGGCUGACCUCAGGAUUUUAUACUAGGUUUGUGUAAACACACAGGAUUCUUUUUCUCUCUGUCCCAAAUUUAAUCAUCGCACUCAUUCAAAUGAAAUAUGAAGUCAUAAGUAUUAAAAUAUGCAUGAGAUUUUGAACAUGUGUAUUGAGAGAAAGCAUUUUGUUUUCUAGAAAACUCAUUUCUGCUGGACAGUGGGGGUCACCAAUACGUUGGAAGGGAGAGUGCUAAGCUAAAUGUCCUCUAGGGUCUUUUUCUAGUUAUAAGAUGACCAAAUCUAUAAUUCCUGGUUCAGAGUUUCACUCACCAUCCAUGGGAGCUAUCUCAGGGAUGGAGAAAGAGAAUUCAGAUCAGGUGAAUCCCUGAGUGGUGAGCCUCAGCCACGGCUUCAUCUUGACAGACAUUUGCCCUCUAGAAACAGACUUAAGGUCAAUCCCUUUGCCAAGAAGUCAAGAAACUGCCUUCUCAACGAGGCCAGUAAAAUCGGCAUAAAAGACCUCCAGAGACAUCAAGUCUCCCUAGAGAGACUUUCUAAACUUUCUGAACAUGUUGUCUAUGUGCUGGCCUGAACCCAGAAUGUACUGAAGGGAGAAAAAAUACAAAAGACGAUGAUAGACCCAAGGAUUAUCUUCCUGGCAUUCCCUAGAACAGCUGUCUGGCAAAUGUUACACCACGUCUGAGAUUAUUUUAGAAACUUUGUCUUGAAGAAGAACAAGGAGAGAGAAUACCAGACAGAUUUGCCCUCAUUUUUUGUCACAGAAUAAGAAUUUCAAGGACAUUUUUACUUUCAGUGAGAUCAUCCUGGCAAUGCUCUUUUCAUUUUUUGAAACUUAAAUCGUGUCACAUCUAAUAAAUUUAUAGCUGUGUGUGGUUACAGCAAUGAGUUGGUA